rnacentral:rRNA from 1 species
GACAGAGGAUGCAAGCGUUAUCCGGAAUGAUUGGGCGUAAAGCGCGUGUAGGCGGUUCAAUAGGUCCGAUGUGAAAACUCGAGGCUCAACUUCGAGAGGCCAUCGGAAACCAUUGGACUAGAGUCCGGAAGAGGAGAGUGGAAUUCCUGGUGUAGCGGUGAAAUGCGCAGAUAUCAGGAAGAACACCGAUGGCGAAGGCAGCUCUCUGGGACGGUACUGGCGCUGAGACGCGAAAGCGUGGGGAGCGAACAGGAUUAGAUACCCUGGUAGUCCACGCCGUAAACGAUGGGCACUAGGUGUGGGUGGUGUCGACUCCAUCCGUGCCGCAGCUAACGCAUUAAGUGCCCCGCCUGGGGAGUACGGCCGCAAGGUUA